rnacentral:rRNA from 1 species
CACGGAGAUGCGAUUUCGGUCAAAUCAAGUGCAAUCUUAGUGGCGGACGGGUGAGUAACGCGUGGGUAACCUGCCUUGCACUGGGGGAUAACACUUAGAAAUAGGUGCUAAUACCGCAUAAGCGCACGGUUCUGCAUGGGACAGUGUGAAAAACUCCGGUGGUGCAAGAUGGACCCGCGUCUGAUUAGCUGGUUGGCGGGGUAAAGGCCCACCAAGGCGACGAUCAGUAGCCGGCCUGAGAGGGUGGACGGCCACAUUGGGACUGAGACACGGCCCAAACUCCUACGGGAGGCAGCAGUGGGGGGUAUUGGACAAUGGGGGGAACCCUGAUCCAGCGACGCCGCGUGAGUGAAGAAGUAUUUCGGUAUGUAAAGCUCUGUCAGCAGGGAAGAAAGCAAUGACGGUACCUGACCAAGAAGCCCCGGCUAACUACGUGCCAGCAGCCGCGGUAAUACGUAGGGGGCAAGCGUUAUCCGGAAUUACUGGGUGUAAAGGGAGCGUAGACGGCUGUGCAAGUCUGGAGUGAAAGGCGGGGGCCCAACCCCCGGACUGCUCUGGAAACUGUAUGGCUGGAGUGCAGGAGAGGUAAGCGGAGUUCCUAGUGUAGCGGUGAAAUGCGUAGAUAUUAGGAGGAACACCAGUGGCGAAGGCGGCUUACUGGACUGUAACUGACGUUGAGGCUCGAAAGCGUGG